GGCGUGGCUUCCGGAGCUAACGCGUUAAGUCGACCGCCUGGGGAGUACGGCCGCAAGGUUAAAACUCAAAUGAAUUGACGGGGGCCCGCACAAGCGGUGGAGCAUGUGGUUUAAUUCGAUGCAACGCGAAGAACCUUACCUGGUCUUGACAUCCACGGAAGUUUUCAGAGAUGAGAAUGUGCCUUCGGGAACCGUGAGACAGGUGCUGCAUGGCUGUCGUCAGCUCGUGUUGUGAAAUGUUGGGUUAAGUCCCGCAACGAGCGCAACCCUUAUCCUUUGUUGCCAGCGGUCCGGCCGGGAACUCAAAGGAGACUGCCAGUGAUAAACUGGAGGAAGGUGGGGAUGACGUCAAGUCAUCAUGGCCCUUACGACCAGGGCUACACACGUGCUACAAUGGCGCAUACAAAGAGAAGCGACCUCGCGAGAGCAAGCGGACCUCAUAAAGUGCGUCGUAGUCCGGAUUGGAGUCUGCAACUCGACUCCAUGAAGUCGGAAUCGCUAGUAAUCGUGGAUCAGAAUGCCACGGUGAAUACGUUCCCGGGCCUUGUACACACCGCCCGUCACACCAUGGGAGUGGGUUGCAAAAGAAGUAGGUAGCUUAACCUUCGGGAGGGCGCUUACCACUUUGUGAUUCAUGACUGGGGUGAAGUCGUAACAAGGUAACCGUAGGGGAACCUGCGGUUGGAUCACCUCCUU
rnacentral:rRNA from 1 species